UACGAAGGGUGCAAGCGUUAAUCGGAAUUACUGGGCGUAAAGCGCGCGUAGGUGGUUCAGUAAGUUGGAAGUGAAAUCCCCGGGCUCAACCUGGGAACUGCUUUCAAAACUGCUGAGCUAGAGUACGGUAGAGGGUGGUGGAAUUUCCUGUGUAGCGGUGAAAUGCGUAGAUAUAGGAAGGAACACCAGUGGCGAAGGCGACUACCUGGACUGAUACUGACACUGAGGUGCGAAAGCGUGGGGAGCAAACAGG
rnacentral:rRNA from 1 species